rnacentral:tRNA from 1 species
AGGUGGAUGCGUCACUGGUGGGCGCCCCGGUCUUCAAAACCGUGCGUGCGGCACUAAUCCUGUCGCAGGUGGGUUCGAUUCCCACACACUUCC